rnacentral:rRNA from 1 species
UGGGGAAUAUUGCGCAAUGGGCGAAAGCCUGACGCAGCGACGCCGCGUGAGGGAUGAAGGUUUUCGGAUCGUAAACCUCUGUCAGAAGGGAAGAAACCGCACCGUGCUAAUCAGCGGUGCAUUGACGGUACCUUCAAAGGAAGCACCGGCUAACUCCGUGCCAGCAGCCGCGGUAAUACGGAGGGUGCAAGCGUUAAUCGGAAUUACUGGGCGUAAAGCGCACGUAGGCUGCUUUGUAAGUCAGGGGUGAAAUCCCACGGCUCAACCGUGGAACUGCCGUUGAUACUGCUUAGCUUGAAUCCGGGAGAGGGUGGCGGAAUUCCAGGUGUAGGAGUGAAAUCCGUAGAUAUCUGGAGGAACAUCAGUGGCGAAGGCGGCCACCUGGACCGGUAUUGACGCUGAGGUACGAAAGCGUGGGGAGCAAACA